GCAGACCAACUGGUCUCACCCUGUUCCAGCAGUGCCACCCAGAGCAGCACUCAGCACCACUUCCAUUCAGCUUUUGGAGGUUCACAGGGAGGAGAUCCCACAGCCUCUCUGGGUAUCUGUGCCAUGCUUCAUCACCUGCACAACAUAGAAGUGCUUCCUGAUGUUCAGGGGGAACCUCAUCUGUUCCAGUUUGUGUCUAUUACGUCUUCUCCUGAUACUGGACACCACUGCAGAGCCAGGCACCAUGCUCUCUGCAACUUUCCCUCAGAGAGAACUUUCAGUGAAGACUGAAACUACAGAACUACUGUGAGCGAGAAACUCAUAGACUGUCAAGCUUUAUUCUGAGACAUCCAGAGCUUUUAUGCUUGGUCCUCUUCAUCAGCAGAGCUAUUAUCUUCCACUGCUGCUGUCUGUAUGCUCUACAGUUUUCUUCCUUAUUAGGAGGGUUCAUUUUUAGGAAUGAAUCUGUAAAGUUGACUGUUUUUGCAUCAAGAUUCCACCUAUAGAGGAAAGUGCAAUUUUCCACAGAAACUUUGAAGACAUGCAAGUUUUUCAAGAGAAUGCAAUUUUCAGUAAAGAAUUGGUUUCCUCACUGAAAUGGAUUCCUGUGACAGUCUGUGUUAACAUUGAUUGCAUUUGAUUAUAUGCUGAUUUUAACAAAAGCUCACAUUUCAGAGGAAAAAAUAUUGCCAAUGAAAAAAAUGUUAACCAGCUUUGGCAGUAGGCAGAGCAAUCUAUUUUCUUGUAGCUUCUGGCUGCCUUUCAGGCUAUAUUAUGCCUUCUUUGUACCACUUGAACACACUAAAUUCUAGAAAAGUACCCGUGUCCUGCAGUAAU
ensembl:lncRNA